AGGUGCCAUGCAGCACUUGAGUUACCCCUUCCCUGGGUAGAGGCAGUGCUGGUGGCUUCUACUUGACCCUUCUGUCUGCAAUGCCCUGCGCUGUAUGGGUCCAGAAACUGAUGUGGGGAUUCUGCCAGCAGCUAAUGGUUAGAACUAUUUUAACAAAAACUGCAAUCUCCUAGAAGAGAAGCGAGAUUGGAUUGAGCAGCAGCAGGUAGAGGGCAGAUCUACUCACCUCCUGGAAUUGUGAAGUAGGCGACAAUAGACACCAUCUACAGCUGAGGCCUCAAACACAGUAGUUAUCAAAAAUGGGAGGAAAGAACAAAGGGGCAUGGCUAGCUCACUCUGCGGGAAGUGCCAUGGCCCUGCUACUGCCACAGGGGAGGUGGGUUGUCUCAAUCACAGAACAUGCGAGAAGUGGAGCCACUGAUGGGCAUCAAGGCAGCCUGAAACUGGGAUCAUUUGAAAAUGUUGCUGUGGACAGA